UACGUAGGGUGCGAGCGUUGUCCGGAAUUAUUGGGCGUAAAGCGCGUGUAGGCGGCCAGAAAAGUCCGCUGUGAAAACUCGAGGCUCAACUUCGAGCUGUCGGUGGAAACUUUCUGGCUAGAGUCCGGAAGAGGGGAAUGGAAUUCCUGGUGUAGCGGUGAAAUGCGCAGAUAUCAGGAAGAACACCCGUGGCGAAGGCGGUUCUCUGGGACGGUACUGACGCUGAGACGCGAAAGCGUGGGGAGCGAACAGG
rnacentral:rRNA from 1 species